AGAACACAUGGUCACACAUGCCAC
rnacentral:siRNA from 1 species